rnacentral:rRNA from 1 species
UGGGGAAUAUUGCACAAUGGGGGAAACCCUGAUGCAGCGACGCCGCGUGAGCGAAGAAGUAUUUCGGUAUGUAAAGCUCUAUCAGCAGGGAAGAAAAUGACGGUACCUGACUAAGAAGCCCCGGCUAACUACGUGCCAGCAGCCGCGGUAAUACGUAGGGGGCAAGCGUUAUCCGGAUUUACUGGGUGUAAAGGGAGCGUAGACGGCGAGGCAAGUCUGAUGUGAAAACCCGGGGCUCAACCCCGUGACUGCAUUGGAAACUGUUUUGCUUGAGUGCCGGAGAGGUAAGCGGAAUUCCUAGUGCAGCGGUGAAAUGCGUAGAUAUUAGGAGGAACACCAGUGGCGAAGGCGGCUUACUGGACGGCAACUGACGUUGAGGCUCGAAAUCGUGGGCAGCAAACA